rnacentral:lncRNA from 1 species
UCCAUCAAAACAAUUAUUUGGAUAAAAUUUAUUUCCAUUGUUUGUAUUUCAAUGCAUAAACUCGUUAUUUUUUUCAGCCAGACAUCGCCUAUCAAAAUGUGAAUUUUCAAGGAACAAUGACUCCAAAAUAGAACAUUAUAAAUACAAGUUAAAGUGGAUAAAUAUCUUUGAUGGUCACCAACACAUUGGCUUCCUCUGGACGUUGUUUAAGAUUGCUCAUCUAGCAAACUCCUAACACAAACAACGAAAAUAUUGUUUUAUUAGCAGUCGGUAAACAAUUUACUGGUAGUUAUAUAUUUAAACUUGAUAACUAAAUAAAAAUAUUGCAAAUUUAAAUGAUUCACAAUAGUUUAACACAUAUACACAACAUCAAUUGUGGUUAAGGAGUCAAAAACAAAUUGUCAAUUAAAGUAAUAUAUCUCUACUCAUUCUUGUUCAUCAACAAGUCAUUAAUGUGGUCAUAGCUAAUGACUACACAUAUGAGUUCAGACUCAACUUUAUUGAUUUAGGAUAAUAAUAAUAAUAAUAAUAUCUUUGGAUUACAUAUAAUUUUCGCGUUGAUUUCAAGCAUAACAGACUUCUAAUGACGAAGAUUGCAACAAAAUAAUGAAACUAAUCAAUGUAAGUGUUGGUGUUUUAAGAGAGGAGAUGGAAGGGUUACAAAAUUGAAAAUUUAUACUUAAAAUGCUAAAUAAAUCAUAGGAAUAUUUUUUUUUUAAAACUCGGUAUCCGAUCUAAGGACCGACUAAUUCUAGGAGAUGAAUUUCAUCGCCUACUUGGGAUUACCUCGAUUAAAGCGAGCAAAUCUUUGUAUGGAUUUACCCACCGAAAUUGGCACCAAAGGUAAUCGAACCUGAGACCUUGAGAGGAGCACACUCCAAGAUCCCAAGUCAACCACUAGGUCAACCCCAAAUGGGUCAAUCGUAGGAAUAUUAUCUUGAAGUUGUCCCAAAAAUGGAGCAAUUUUCUUGCAUAUCCUUGUACCAUAAAGAUUGAUUUCUGGAUCUUGUUUCAACUACCAUGUUGUGUUAUUUCUCUACCUACCUUUUAUUCUCUAUUGACACUAUUUCUUUCUCUAAUAUUAGGGAUUAACUGAAUUUAUUUUCUCAAAAUAUAAAAACUUUAUAUCAUUAUAAACUUUUACUUUUUUUUAUAAAAAAAAAAAAAGUAUUCAAAUAGACUAACCUGCAUGUACAAAGAUCACUAAUACACCUUACAAAUGUAUUAGGGGGACACCUGAAAUUCAUUGGACAAUCAUCACUGACGGUGCACUUUAUAACUGCAAAGUAAAAUAACAAUAAAUCAAUUCCAUCAAAAGGUUAUGAAAGGUUGUGUAUAACAUAACAUAAAGAACAAAAUGCAAAACCACUUACGUUUAAUGCCGGUUACAACAAGAAUUAGAGAAAGAAAUAUAAUUAAAGCAUAAAAAGAUUUGGAAAUUUGAGC